GACGAACGCUGGCGGCGUGCUUAACACAUGCAAGUCGAACGCUGAAGCUCAGCUUUUGUUGGGUGGAUGAGUGGCGAACGGGUGAGUAACACGUGAGUAACCUGCCCCCUUCUUUGGGAUAACGCCCGGAAACGGGUGCUAAUACUGGAUAUUCACUGGUCUUCGCAUGGGGGUUGGUGGAAAGGGUUUUUCUGGUGGGGGAUGGGCUCGCGGCCUAUCAGCUUGUUGGUGGGGUGAUGGCCUACCAAGGCUUUGACGGGUAGCCGGCCUGAGAGGGUGACCGGUCACAUUGGGACUGGGAUACGGCCCAGACUCCUACGGGAGGCAGCAGUGGGGAAGAUUGCACAAUGGGCGCAAGCCUGAUGCAGCGACGCCGCGUGAGGGAUGGAGGCCUUCGGGUUGUGAACCUCUUUCGCUCAUGGUCAAGCCGCAACAAUGGUUGUGGUGAGGGUAGUGGGUAAAGAAGCGCCGGCUAACUACGUG
rnacentral:rRNA from 1 species